rnacentral:lncRNA from 1 species
ACUCUACCACCUCAUUUCCACCACCCGAAACCACCACCUCAAAUCUCCUCGUGGUGACUACACCGCCAAACCCUACCACCCCAUCUCCGCCUUCUCCUCCCGUCUCCGCCACCUCCCUUUAUAUCUCCUCCUCCUCUGCCUCCUCAUCUCCUUAAUCCAUCAAUCCUUUAUCUCUUUCGACGCCGAUCCUCUCCUCAAAGGCCGCACUCCCGUCCACCGCUUCACCUCUCUCCAAGCCGCCGCCGUCAUUUUCUCUUUCCUCCUCUUAACCCUCGCUAUCCUUAUCUCCGAGUCAACUUCGCUCCUCCCGCUCCCUCCCGAUCUCUUUUUUGCUCUAGCAUCGGCACUUUUCUACCUCCACUACUCCGUCUCCUCAAACUCCGCCUCCGUUCAGACCUCCGAUCUUCAAGCCAAGUGCGACUCCGUUUCAGCUAACAUUUCCUUACUCUGCUUUCUUCUCUGUCUCCUCAUCGCCUUUCAACCCAGGCUUUUCCUCUUGCCUCCUCAUCUCUUUUAUCCAUCAAUCCUUUGUCUCUUUCGACGCCGAUCCUCUCCUCAAAGGCCGCACUCCUGUCCACCGCUUCACGUCUCUCCAAGCCGCUGCCGUCAUUUUCUCUUUCCUCCUCUUAGCCCUCGUUCUCCUUAUCUCCGAGUCAACUUCGCUCCUCCCGCUCCCUCCCGAUCUCUUUUUUGCCCUAGCAUCCGCACUUUUCUACCUCCACUACUCCGUCUCCUCAAACUCCGCCUCCGUUCAGACCUCCGAUCUUCAAGCCAAGUGCGAUUCCGUUUCUGCUAACAUUUCCUUACUCUGCUUUCUUCUCUGUCUCCUCAUCGCCUUUCAACCCAGGCUUUUCCUCGCUGACGUGGCGCUCGCUGGUUCAAUAUGUCUACAGGGUCUGUGGGUACUACAGACAGGACUUUCGCUCUACGUUGAUGCUUUCAUUCCUGAUGGCUGUCAUAAGCUAUUGGAUGUUGUGACUGGAGUUGAGGGAUCUACGAAGUGUGAUCUGGAAGAUUCUAAGCUCAGAGCUGUCGCAAUCCUCGAUUUGGUUUUCGUGCUUCAUGUGUUGUUUGUGUUGCUCGUCGUGAUUGUUACUUAUGCUACUGUUGCUAAAACUGUUGGUAUCAGGAGAUUUGGCUCUUAUGAGGCACUGCCCAACCCCAAUACUUCCGACUCCAAUCAUAUACAGAUGAAGGCUUUGACCGGAACACAGGCUUGAUCAUCUAUUUCUACACUGUACUAGGUAUCCUUCUUGCUUUUGGAUAAUGGCAACAUAUUGCAAAGAACUACACUGCUUUUAGUCUUCUUAUGAUCAAUUCGUUCCUCUUUUCUUACUUGAAUGAGUGUUAAUGGGUCUAGGAACUGCCAAAUGUUGCAUAAACAAUAAUGAAAUAUCAGGGCUUUAGUUUAGGACUUGAGGUCACAAAAGAGAAAUCAAUGUUCACCUAUAGAUAGCGAAAACGAUUACUUGAUGAAAGAAGUGUUAAGCACUUAAGGGAAACAAUUGAAGGGAACGAUGGUGAAAUAUAAAAGAGAUACAUUGCUCAAUAUAUAUAUGAUUAUCAAGCAAAUUUACUGCUUUUAAUUACUUUGAAAGAUAUAAAAACAAUUAGAUUAUUCAUAGUACUUAAAAAAAAGAAAAGAGGGUUUUCCUGAUUAAUUGUCUACAUUUUGUAUUUACCUUUGAGAUGGUUGUGCUGAGUAUUGGUUAAUGCUUGUUCCCUCAAUACAUGCUUUAUCGAAUAUCUUAGUGGACCUUUUUGUUUUAACAAAUGCCCUUUUUCUCUUCUUCCUCCUUCUCACUCUCCAUUAUUUAUGGGCGCAUCCUCCAAAAAAAAAUCGUAUAAGGAAAACCAGUGGACCGAACCAGACUUGGUGGUGCGGUGGGUGCAAAACUGUGUCGGUUUAUAAUGAAUGAUCAGUAUAGCAAGUUUAGUAUGUGACAGAUCCAUUGACCUGUAUUUACAAUUUAUCACAUACAUGAUAUCGGAAUGGCUUAGUUCUACUUGCCUUAUAAAGCUUAGGAAAUUCCUGAACUUCGAGGGCAUAACUUAAUUCUUGUUAGAUAUCUGUUCUCCUAUUUCUCGCAUAUAUCAUAUUGAAACUCUAUUAUACGUUCGUUGAAAGGAGUUAAGGAUUGUACAUUUGCUUGGGAGAGAGUCUCUCCUUUACCAUCUUGGUUCAUAUUCUUCUGAGCUACGUUCACUCCAAGGUUGAUGCGUUGAUUCAAUUAUUCUGAUCUAUAGACCCCUACAGAAGAUCAUUCUUUUGCUUGACCUGUAAACCAACUCAUUUGGGGGGAUGAUAAUUGACGAGAAUUCCUAAGGACACUUUUAGACUAAAGAUGCACGGGAAAAUAUUGAUCUGGAUCCAGCUUUUUAUCUGUUUAGUGCCCUUUCUGCAAUAGGUGCUGCUGAAAUUUGGAUGGUUGAUGAGAGCUACUUAAGCUGAAUUCAAGGGGAGAAAUGAAAAAGCUUCAAUGAGUAUUGGUUUCAAUAAUUGGGCCAAGAAUACCUGGAGACCUAUGUUGCGCAGACUCUCCAAAAUGUAGCCGCACCCAUGUCGGAUCCUUCAGAAGUGCACUACUUUUGGAGAAUCCGACACGUAUCCUGCCACAUUUUCGGAGAGUCCGAGCAACAUAGCUGGAGACUGGCAGCAGAUAUCAGGGUGACAGAGUAGCUGAAGCAAUAAAAGCCAAAUACUAGGGCGAAUUUAGGAAGAUUUGGCUGGCAGACUGCACGACCCGAAGCUCCUCUUUGUGUCUUCAAUAAUAGUAGUAAUAUAUAUAAUACAUGUAUUUACACAUACACAUACAUGAUAUAGGAAUGGCUCAAUUGUAAUUCCCUUAUAAAAGCUUAGGCAAUUCCUGAGCUUCUUGGGCACACUCUUGAGUCUUGGUAGACAUCUAUUCUCCUAUUUCUAGCAUAUCUCAUAUCGGAACUCUACUAUACAUUCAUUGGAAGGGUUCAAGUAUUGAACAUUUGCUUGGGAGAGACUCUAUUAAUGCCAAUCAUGACAUGAUAUUCUGGUUUGUUGCGAGGCCUGGGCUUGUAGAAACCUUAAAGAACUUGAAGAGCUUAUCACACAGUGUUAUCUAAGUGCUACGCAGACUUGGUACACCCACAAUUCUUCUUGGAGGGUUUUCUCAGUUGACUGAACCUGACAAAAUAUACCUCUUCCUAUUAUAACAUCACCAACCGAAGUUGCGUGAGAGGUGUUCUCUUAGUUCCUAAGAAGAAACAGAAAGAUGUUACAUCAGGCAGGAGAUUAUAGAAGAAUAGCUUCGUCUAUUAGUUAACGAAGGAUCAAACAUCCUUGGAUUAAGCGAAUCCUACCCCUCUUGUAAGAAAUUUGUUUGCUCGUAUUGAACUGCUUAAUUAAAUGGGUAUGGUAAAUGUUUUUUAAUGAGUAUUUCCCAUUUUAUUUCAACCUAUCUCUAGCCCUUUAGUUCUAAAGAACUUCAGCAGUUUUACAUUUUAAGAAUGAGAUAAAACAGAAACAGUAGUUCACCUUGGCCUUGAGCUAAAUCUCUACACUUACCAGUUUAGCGUAUUGUUCUCUGGGUUAAUAAAGCUAUUCAAGCUUGUAUGCAGCCCAAAAUUGGUGUACCCCUUCAAUAUAAAACGAAAUCAGCAUUAAUUUGGUCAUUUUUUGUGUUGCCUCUGUUUUGGAUGCUUCAGAAGAUUAAAAAUACUUGCUCGAAAGACAGAGGGGGUGCUUUUAUUAAUUUAAGCAGGAUCAAACUCUUAAUAACUCUAUAGAUAGUCCUUUUGAUGGCUUGCAGCCUGGGUGAAGUACGCUGUAGUAGUGCAAACUUCAGACCCUAGGUCUGAAGUUCACCUGGAGCGGUGCAUACUUCAUACCUCGGGUCUGAAGUUCACCUGGAGCAGUGCAUACUUCAUACCUCGGGUCUGAAGUUCAUUUAUAGGAGUGUAGACUUUAGACCUCGGGUAUUUAUCCAACAAUGAUUUCUGGUAAUCAUAAAACAUGUGCCAAAAUUGCACAACUAGGGGUGGCAAAAUGGUUCAAAGAAAACUGUUAACCACCCAUAUUAUCCAAUAAAAAUGGGUUGGAUAAUGAACAUUUUAAAAACGGGUCAAAUAUGGGUAAGAACCAUAUUAUCCAUUUAGAAAAUGGGUAAUCCAUGAGUAACCAAUGGGUCUAAUUUUUACAUUUGUAAAGCAUCAAAUUGGGGGUUUCUCAAAUUAGGGAGACUAAGAAUUCUCCCAAAGUGAUCAUAUCCAAGAAGUCAUGGAUAAUAUGGGUAAUCCAUAUUAUCCGCCGGUUAACCCGUUUUUAUCUGUAUUAAAUAUGGGCCGGGUCGGAUAAUUGAUUUUUGAUUACCCGCUUUCCACCCGAACCAUAUCCGACCUAACCCGCCCGUUUGCCACUACUAUGCACACCCAUGGCGUGACCACCAUGGGCGGAGCUAGAGUGCCGCCAUUGGAUUCGUGUCGAACCCAAUAACUUUGGUUCGAACCUUGUAUUUGUUUUAAAAAAUCCUUUGAAUAUGUAUAAAUUAUUAGUUUAGAACUCAGUAACAUACAACGAUUAAACUCCCAAACCCAUAAACUUGAAUUCCUAUCUCCGCCUCUGUUGACCACCUAUAACCAUUUAUGUGUAGCAAUGGGUGCAGCAGGUGGAAAUGCCAAGGUGAACUUAAUCAUCACAUCUGGAGCAAUCAUGCUUUUUCUUAUGCCUCCUACAAGUUUGAGUCACAAACUAAAAGCAUCACAGAAGAAUGUUAAUGUGUAGACUUUAUCUGUCUAAGAGCAUUUGGAUGUGGCAAUAUAACUCAAAACAUCUAUUAAAGGUAUGUUGACUUCUGGUUGGCUUAGUUCCGAUGGGAAAAAGAGAAGACCAGUUAAUCAUUUUGUUGUUGUUUUUGGAGCUUUGGGUUUACUUGUGAUGUAGCUAAUGGUACCCCUGUUUUCUAUGCCCGCACUAUUGGCUCCUGCUGUCUUUGGACCUUAUUUUGCCUUCCUUAACUCAUUGAAUCUGGUGAAUAUCCUUUCAAAGGUUCGCACAUCUUUCAGAACUCUAUAACUACUAGUGUUAAAUCUCAUGUCUACAUCUUUCUUUUUACUAGGUAGUCAACUGAAAUGUGUAAAAACAGAAUCAUAUCUUAAUAGACAACUUAUUAUGGUUAGGGGUGUUCAUUAAAAACUGAACCAAACCGAUCAAAAAUCGAUACGUUUUUGGUUUGGUUCAUCACUAUUUGAUUUAAUUAUCAUCAAUAUAUUUUGGUAACUGAUGGAUUGGUUUGAUAGUGUUACUUUAAAAAUGUAGUUGCCGAAAUAUGUGUUUGGUAAUGUGUGUCUCAUAUUUAAGAAAAAACCCGAAAAACGACUAAAACCAACAUAAACCGAAUCGAUAAAAAACCGACGUAAUUGGUUUGGUUUCUUUUUAGGGAAAAACUGAUCCAAACCGAACCAUAAACACCCCCAAUUAUGAUCAUGAACUUCGCCUAUGCGAGGGUCUGAAGUUUCACUUAUAGCAGUGCAAACUUCAGACCAUGGUUGCAUAGUCAGGGAGUGUAGUGUUUUUUAUGCAGGCUAUUGGUGUUUUUGUUAUCAAUUUAUUUCCUAAUUUUCAACGAAGUACAUUCCGUAUGUUUAACAAGGCCAUAUUUAUAGAUAAAAGGGAGUGAUUGCUUACUGUGGUCAAACCAUAUUGGUUUGCAAUAGCGCUGCUAUUCGUGUUGCAUUUGUAAAUGAAUGUGGUGUAUGAUUAUCUCAUAUCAUUCAAUGAUUUCUAGACUUGAUGAAAACAUUUGCAGGACAUUAGUAGAAGAUGAGAUCCAUGAUCUGACACAAGAACUCCAUAACUAAGUAGGGCUCCCAGGUAUCUCCGGUGAUUGACUGUAAGAGUUGAAAGGGCUUUGCUACUGCGAAGCCAUGGUAUGGGAGAUUUGGGUAUUUUUGUCCAACUUUUAGUUACUUAUACAAAGCGGCUAAACUUUAAAUAGUUAUUAAAUACCGGCUUGGUUUUAAACUGUGGUCUUAAAAUAGGCUAUUUGUGCAUGUCACCCAGCUAAUUCUUGGAUUAAGUGAUUGAGUCCUAACCCUUCUGUCCGAUAUUUCUUUGCUCGUAAUGAAGUGCUUGCAGAAUCAAAUGAGUGAAUAUUUUUUAAUUUCCUCUUCAUACUUGUAUCUCCAUUCGAUUAUGCCAUGUCUAAACCUUUAGUUCUACAGAAUCUUUAAUGGUUACCUGUUUUACAUUGAGAUUAAACAGAAACAGUAGUUGACCUUCGCCUUGAGUUAAAUCUCUACCAGCUUUACCAGCUAGUAUAGGAGAGCCCAAAAAUUGGUGUACCUCGUUUUUGAAGAUAAAACGUGGGAUUUGGCAUAGAUCUCCCUACCCAGUAGAUCAAUGUCCAAAAGUGAAUAAGUGAAGGAGAGGGACAAGCUUAUUCCUAAAAAAUGGAAGGAUGAACAAUCUCAAUCCUUUAAACUUAGAUAUCUUCAAUAAUAUGCAUGUGAUGAUAUAUAUCAGUAACUGGGGGAAGAAAUACCCCCCCCCCCCCCCCCCCCNNNNNNNNNNNNNNNNNNNNNNNNNNNNNNNNNNNNNNNNNNNNNNNNNNNNNNNNNNNNNNNNNNNNNNNNNNNNNNNNNNNNNNNNNNNNNNNNNNNNACUACAUGAGCAUGUUACCCCCCCCCCCUUUUACAGAAACUAUUACGUACAACAUAGCUAAGAGUGUGGUUUGCUCAUAUUUCUUUUUGCCCGUGUUUUGGAUCCUUCGUAUAUUUUAAAAAAUUUAAUUGAAAGACAGAGGGCUGCUUUUACUAAGGCGGAUCAAGUUCAUUAUUGCUCUGUGAAUAGCUCCUUUCGAUUGCCUGCAGCUAUCAAGAAAUGAGAAUAGCACUUGUUGUAGUUUUUUCCUUUGUUCAAUAAUUUUGGGUUAUGAACCACUUGCACAGCUUCAUGAAACCCAUUAGCAUGCAAUCGUCUCAUUUGCUCGUAUGCCAUAAGGAUGUGAGUUUCCAUUCUCUUUCCUCUUGAUCUCCUAAUAAUGCUAUGAAGUCCAAUUUGCACUACUAGUUUCAGACUCGUAAAACCUUGGCGUAUGUUAACCUUGUACGUUCUUAAGGUUACAAGGAAAAUAAUUAUUUAUUCUGUCGUAAAAUAAACGUUCAAUUAGUUGUUUGACAGAUGAUUAGAAGGAUAGAGUUAGGCAAUUUGUAUGUGGAAGUAAAGGUCUCCUCUAAGCAGUUAGUCCUUUUUGGUAAAAUAAAAGAGAUUUCGACUUUUUAUGUAUCCUUUAAUUCCUCCUCGGACUUUCUAUUAUAAACACAAUUACGCUCUCCCAAAUUGUCUUUUGAGAGGCUACCAUCUAAAACUUUGACCAUGAUUUUUUCAGAUAAAUGUUUCCUAUAUUUUGAAAGUAAAAAACAAACUGAAUUUAUUUUUACUAAAAAUAAAAAAAUGAAAAACAAUUGCUUUAAAAAAACUGAAAAAUUAUUUCUAAAAUAAUAUUUUUAUAAAAACAGAAAUAAAAUGUAAAAAGCAAUUUUCUAAUGCAAUGUCUUUGUAAAAACUGGAAAAAAGUUGAAUUUAUUUUUACGAAAAACUGGAAAAAAAAUAUUGCUUUAAAAAACUGAAAAUUUCUUUUCUAAAACAAUGAUUUUUGUAAAAUAUAGACAGUUUGGGCAUAUUGCCCAACUAUUGGACAGGGAAAAUUUGCAUAUUUGGGCAAAUUUGCUCAAUUAUUGUACAGUUUGGGCAUAUUUGGAUCAAACUAUUAAUUACGGGCAUAUUUGUCCUAUUUUAAAUAGUUUAUGGGCAUAUUUGGACCUUUUCCAUUUAGUUCAAAAACACUUUUAGGAAAAAAAAUAUUUUGAUUUUAAUUAAUUAGAAAAAGAAUAAAAAUAUUGUUUCCGUUAAGAAAAGGGCAAAUUUGCACAACUAUUGGAUGGUUUGGGCAUAUUUGGACCAAACUAUUAACGACGGGUAUAUUUGUCCUAUUUCAAAUAAUUUACGGGCAUAUUUGGACCUUUUCCGUAGAAUAUAUGUCAAUGUCCAAGUCCAAAAAUUGGUCGAGUACAAUACUGAACACCCUGUCCUGAUUGUGAUCAACAGCACCAUUUAAUUCAAUCAUUGAGCUUGUAAAAACAACUAACAAAAGCUGCAUUUCUUCUAACACCCAAGUAGAAUGUGAAUGUGAAUGUGAAUCAAAUAUUACUAAAGGUAAUUAAACCUAAUUAGAUAUCAGAGUCAAUGGUAUUUAAGGAGUAAUAAAUUUACCUAUCAUCCCAAGGAGAAAGCUCUGAUUAUCAGUAUGUGACCGAGCAACUCCUCUCAUUCCCACUUCUUCAUCAAUUAAAACAAUAUUCCUAUUUACUUUUUGUAUUUUUUAAAACAAUCACAAUCCUACCAUUAUGCAUAAGUUUAUAAUAUUAGGUUUCUUAUGUAUAAAAGUAGAAGUUUCGCUGCCUUUCUAUCUUCUUGUUCGUGUGUGCACGAUAGUACCACAUAGCAAUAAAGUAACACAACAAAAUUUGAUACACAGAUCAAAUGAAUUAUAAUUCAUCCAUCUAUACUUGGAUCGUUUGCCAUUUUCUUAAUUUGCAUUUUCAACUGCUACAACUACAGGCAUGUUAUACACCCCUAACAAGAGGAAAAGACAAUAGAAAGCAAAAUAAACAUAUUUUUGUUCAACAAGUUACGUAUUUGAAAUGCCUGCCAACACUUUCCAGCAAAUAGUGUCAUAGCUCGAGGGAUUAAAGUAUGACAUUUUACAAUAUGACAGAUGUUCUCUGAAAGCCUCUUUUGUAAGACGGCGUUGAAUCAUUUCUAUCCGCGUAGCCCUCCCUCCUAAAGGCCUCCACGCCAUCACUCAAAGCUGUUCCAUAGUGCAAUAAUUAGGCGAAGAGCUCAUGAAUUACACGAGAGAUUGCCCAAAAUUAAGAAUAAGUGGUUAAGUAUUAUGAUGUCAAAUGAGAAUUGCCCAUAGGCUAAGCACUCUUUACCGGUACCAAGAGAACGAUAGGCACCUCAACAUCAACAUACUACUACUUGCAAGGUAAAACAACAAAAUUGAAUUUUUCACAAUCUGUGGACUAGAAAUCCGAUAUAAUUAUAUCACAAAUAAUUUGUCCUACAAAAAGAUUGAAGAUAGCUAGCCUCUUUCCCGUGAACACUUUCCUCACAUUUAUAGGUUAACAAAAUCAAUCUAUCUAAAUCAGGCAGAUUUAAACUUGGCAGAUGUGGACGCCAGAUGUGAAAGGGUUCUGUGUCCUACGAAUAGUAAGAAUAUCCCCAAGAAUCCAAGCUGUCAGUGUUUGGAACAGAUUCCACUGCAAGCAGAGAGGCAAACAAAUAUGUUGAAUUAGCACGCAAGACUAUGUCUCUGUCUAACAAAUAAAUCUAAAUGCUGAAUUUGAGCCUUUCACAGACUUAUAAAGGCAGUGAACACCCAGCAAAAUUCCCUAAUUGUCCAAGGCAAAAAGUUAAGGUAGGCAAAGGAGCCUUAUCCAGCUUUCUAUCUCUACCUCUGCUUAGGGAAGACUGACCUAGCUUUAAUCUUACAUGAGAAACACAGAAUAUAGAAGGCCGUCAGAAAUAAAUUCUGCAGAAUCAGGAUUAACUAGUUGAAGAAAUUUUAUGGAAGUCAAACAAACUAAUGAUUAUGUGAGUGUUGAAAAAGGAUAGGUAUAGCCAAAGACUUAAGAUGCUUCCGCUAUAGCUAUAAAUUUCAACAAUCUAAAGUGGCAGUCCUGAGAAGGCAAUACUUGUCACUUGUCAGUUGUCACCAGUGUCAGUGGGGGCAAAAGAACCAAAUGAUUUUAAGGUUAUCUUUUGAUUAAUGCACUGAAUCUUAUAUCAAAUCAUUUGACGUGGCAUAAGGUUCAAAGGAAGUUGAAUGUCAAGCAACAGAACACCAGAAUUAGAAGAAAAGCAUCACUAAGUUAGAUGCUCCUCAGUUAAUUAAUGCGUUCAGCAAUUGAAGGGCGAAGUGCAGCAAUAGCCACUUUUAAGCCCGCUAUUUAAAAUAUAUCCAUAAUUUACAAUGUAUUUAAAGAUUAGCCACUUCACCCGAACUUCAGGACUAAAUAAUCUGAAUUUUGAAUUUCUGAACUAUUAAUUUAAAAUUCAUGACAUAAGAUCCGAACUUCUGGAUGUUCCCGGAUUCAUUGAUUCAAGGGUUUUAGAUGGGAUGGACAGAAGAGUUUGAACGGGCGAGUGACUUUAGGGUUCCACAGGUUCCAAAGGCUAAAAGCCGGAGUAGUUGAUCCAGUAGUUCUAAAUAUAGAUAGAAGAAUCCCGAAUGAACAAGCAUCCACAAAUGUCGAUUCAUUCAAGCAAGAGAGUGCAACAAUCCUUUCCUUUGACACUGGUCCCGUAAACGAGUGAAAAAUACCUUGUACAGUUUCCCCUUUCCCUUUCAGCCAGUCCAAGAGUUCAGUUCACUCGACAAUUUUCGAACUUUAGGACACGAUGUCGUGAAUUUUGAGGUUUAAACUCUAAGACGCCGUGUCCUGAAGUUUGAGCGAAAUUGGCUAAUCUUUAAAUACAUUGUAAAUCGUGGAUAUAUUUUAAACAUGUUUAAAAGUGGCUGCCUAGUGUGAUUUCCACGCAAUUAAAAAGAACAUAUUCUAAGACCUUGUUGAAGUCCUAUAACUAAUUUUGAGAAUUGGCAAGGCUAUCCUUUCAAAAAACUGAAUCAUAAAUGUUCUAUCAACCAGUAAAUAGAAACUCAACGAACGGAGAGAAAAAGAAAGCGAACGACACCUAUUCCCUAGCUAUCCAACUGCCCCAUGUUUGCUAAAACUUGAGAGUAACAGAAAUUAGACAAAAAUUCUUUUUAAAUAUCACAAGCCCUUACUUCCAAGCACUACUAAAACUGGGUCUAUGUGACCAGAAGUGAAGCCGCUUUUGCAGGGGAAAAACAAUAGUAAUGACGUCGAGAUAGCCAAAAAAACCAUACCUGCAACCAGAAUAGAACAUAAAGUGAUAAAACGGCUGCAAUGAGGAGGUGGAAAAGAAUGGCAAACAUUGCAGGCCCUGAUGCUGUUGGGAAGUUCUUCAGGUUCACAUACAGCCUCAGAAGCUUCAAAAAAACAUGAAAGCAUGAUAACUUAACCACAAGAAACAAAAUCCAGUGCCAAUGAAAGCUGCUUGUGCAACUUAUAUGCUGCUAUACAAUGAGCAAAGUACCUCCUAUUUCAACAAAGUAUCAACUACCCAUCACAAAUUAUAAGUUUUUCAUAAACGUAUUAAUGCUGCGACUAAUAGCACACUGAGGUCAGGUGAACCCAAGGACGUAGCCUAGUGGUCAAUGAAGCGAGUUGAGAACCAUGAGGUCUCAAGUUCAAAUUCCAGUGGAGGCAAAAACACUAGAUGAACUAUUUCCAUCUAUCCAAGCCUUGGUAGACAAUGCUAUCUGGUACCUGUGCUUGUGGGAGGUAACAGGGUACCCUGUGAAAUUAGUCGAGAUGCACGCAAGCUGGCCCGGAUACCACAAUAUAAAAAAAAAAACUAAAUGCAAGAGAGGCAUUAUAGACAAGAGAGAGGAUGCUAAGCUCCACAUUCAAGCCUAGGAAAACCAACCAAUUGAAAUAGAAUCGAUCAUACAACAAUUAUCUCAUUUUUUAAUUAAUGGAGUUGUCCUGGCCAACUUGCACAUAUUUCAACUAAUCUACUGGGUAACUUUGUACGCAAGAUUUGGACAGUGAAAAGUCAUCUAACUUUUUUCACCUAUAUUAAGACUUAAACCCACAACUAUUCUCCUCUACACAUAAUUUUUCUUGUAGAAUGAGGGAAGGGAGCGAUAUUGCUACAUUACUUUUAACUUAUUUAAAAAAAGAAAAUCAACCAUGAAUUAGAGGAAACCUACCCCAACCAAAAAUCCAAGGAAUGGAAGAAGAACAAGGGCCAGAAAGGCAUAAGAAAGGUCCCUAGGAGGUCUUUUCUUUGGAACCCUGAAUACGUGAGCGAUUUCUGCCUUGGGCCCAAACCUUGAGGAAGGAUCAACAGCUUGAGGAGGUGGGCGAGCUGCCUUCUCUGGAGGCUCCGAAAAAUCUAAUUCAACAGAACCCAAGGGUUGCAAGAACGAGUUCUCCUGAAGGAAACAAAAUGCCCAGCUCAAGAUGUCAGAUCAAAUAUUCAUCAAAAUACAGAUGUCAUAAGAAUAAGUUUCUUUACUGCGUGUUUUUCCAAAAACUUGACCAAAAAUGUGACACUAUGUAGCUUUAAUGAAGCUAGAAUCAGUACAUACCAUUACAGCAUCUCCGACAGUAAGUUGAAUCUCAUAUCUACCUGAUAGAUAGUCAAAAAUGUGACUAUGUAGCUUUAAUGAAACUAGAAUCAGUACAUACCAUUACAGGCAUCUCCGACAGUAAGUUGGAUGUCAUAUCUACCUGAUAGAUAGAAAAACUUUUCAACUAGUCCAAGGAAAUCCUACAAGACAGAAUGCCAUUCAAGUAUUCACUGGUUAGUGCUUUUAGAGAUUAUUAAUAUUGGAAUUAGAGGCAACUACACAUAUUUCUUUCUUCUUGGAAUUGGAGUUUUGAACUCUCAAACACAUCCACGUUAUGUUCAGUGGGAGCAACAGAGUACCAACGAUUUCAGAACUUACUAGUAUUAUUUCGAAUUGUUUUCAAGAAUUCCCCACCACAAAGAUAUGGUCCACCUUGCUCUCAUGUCUCAACUUGAGGAAAGCCUGCAGACCAGAUCUUAAGUCCACCAACUGUGGAUGAUAAAGAGUUAUUCAACAGAUAAGUCAGACUCCCAACCUGGUGUGGCUUAAAAGAAUGCCCAAGAGGAGACGUUAAUUGAAAUGACAACCGUAGCUUUUGCAGAUGGUUUGCUGAUAGAGAGAUGGCAUUUUCCCCAGAGAAAUCAAGUCUGUACGAAAAACCCCAAGAAAUGAUAAACUAUCAAAAAGUUCAAGUGAUGUGAUAGGUAGCAUCAAAAUGAGGUGAAAGACAAGUCAGGCUCCCAACCUGGUGUGGCUUAAAAGAAUGCCCAAGAGGAGAAGUUAAUUGAAAUGACAACCGUAGCUUUUGCAGAUGGUUUGCUGAUAGAGAGACGGAAUUCUCCCCAGCGAAAUCAAGUCUGUACGAAACACCCCAAGAAAUGAUAAACUAUCAAAAAGUUCAAGUGAUAUGAUAGGUAGCAUCAAAAUGAGGUGAAAGACAAUCAAGCAAAAGCAGACAAAUUGUUGUAUCCAUAAACAUGUAUAAGUUGUCAAUACACACUUGAUGCUUGUGCCAAAUUAACCUGGUAGUCGUAGGCAAAGAGCUGCCCAUAUGACAAUCAAUAGAAAACAACGAAGAAACUUUAUUUCCUAUAAAAAAAAUAGCAGUUGAAUGUAAUUAAAAAAAAGACAGAAACGAUAUUCUGCCAAACAAUGUGAGGUAGCAAUAAAAUGGUAAAUUGAUUUUACAGCCUACAUGGAUCCAGUUCAGCUGUCAGAAGUAAAUUAAAGGCAACUAAGUACAGCAAGUAAACUGAAUCAAAAGCUAGCCCAUUCUUAAAAACUUUACCAAAGAAAUAUAGUAAUGAAAUAGUUUUAAAAACAAGAGGAAAAGAAAAAAGAUAUUUGUGUCUAUGGUCCACAUUAAAUAUUCACACUAGCACUUAUCUGAACAGAAACAAGUUCACUAUGACCAUGAUUAUAAAUAACUAAUACAUGCAAACAAUAGGUCAAAAGACGGUCAAUGAAUAGAAAAGGAAUGUAGUCUUCAAAAAUAUGUCAUAAAGGAGAUAAAAGGACAAGAAAGAAAACGGCAUACUUAUUCUGCGUUUCAGCAUUUCCAAUAUCAUUGUCAAGUACAGCAAUCUCUGCAGUAUCAACUUUGAUAGCUCCUGUAAUAUAUAUGGGUACUUUUGUUCUUCCUCCAGUGGCAUAGAUCGUUUUAUGAUCUGAAACAUGAAGCAAAAGCUACAAUAUCAUCAAGAGCAAUGCAAAGGUAAAAUUGGGCAAAUUCAAAUCGACUUAGGAAGCAAAUUUUGAUUAGGUAAGAGAAGGAGAUGUCCCAGACCCCACUUUAUGAGACUAUACUGGGUAGUUGUUGUUGUUGUAAGAGAAGGAGAUGCGUACCUCAAAAGAGAAAAUGUAACUGCCAACAUCAAUGUCUUUGGGCAAAGCAUCUAAGUAAUGUAAAGCAUUUUUAUGGUCAAAUUUGAGAUCCUGUAUCAUGGGAAUAGACAAAAUAUUCACAAAGUUAAGGGAAAGUCGAGAGCUAAAUCUACUUCAAAAGAAAAUAUUAACAGCUACAUAUGAUGCACUAGAUCACAAACAAAGCCACUUAGCACCUGAUCAAUAACAGAGGCAUCCUUUGAGCCAGAGCUAAAAAUCUGCUUGAGUUUGACUGUCAGAGAAGGUACAGCAGAACCCAGAACAGUGUUUACGUUUACCUAGUUGGAAGAAAGAUAACAGUCCUCAGUUUCAGAUCUGCUGGCAAAACUUAUUAGACCACUAAGCUAACCGGAUACAUGAUACAAGAAAGGAUGCAUCACAUAUCUCCUCACAGAAAUCACCGUUUAAAAAGGCACACUUGAUUCACGCUUAAGCGUAGAAACUAGUGGCUAAGCAAGCUGUGUGCUUUGUCUAGCUUAUACAGCACUUUAGCGAUGGCACUGAGGGGUGUGUCUAAGCAAAAACAAGUAAACCAACUGCUUUUUUGG